UGAAACGAUCGAGGAGGUGAGGUUGACUACCGACCACUCGAUCAAGGUUGUGGAGGCUGUCUCACCACAAGACAGAGGUGACGGUUGUUAAUAACUGGAAGUCGGAGCAGCAGACGGAGAUCAGUGUAGGAGAGUGCACUAUCCUGGUCAAAGCGCUCCGUCAAACACUUGGGCGUGAUGAUCGACGAUAAGCUUACCUUCGGUAGCCACGUCGAUUAUGCCUGUAAAAGAGCCUCCACAGCUAUUGCGGCACUGUCCCGGAUGAUGUCCAAUAGCUCUGCGGUGUACGCCAGUAAGCGCAAGCUUCUGGCUAGUUUUGUUACGUCCAUACUAAAGUAUGGCGGCCCGGCGUAGGGCACCGCGCUAAGUACUGAAUGCUACCGACGGAAGCUGGAAAGUAUUUACAGGCUUAUGUGCCUGAUGGUUGCGAGCGCGUACCGUACCGUGUCACACGACGCUCACUGCGUCAUUAUUAGUAUGGUGCCUAUCAGCAUUCUUAUCAGUGAGGACAUGGAGUGCUUCGAAAUGAGCGGCACAAGAGGCAUACGCAGGACUGCCAGGAAGGCCUCUAUGGUCAAAUGUCAGCGCGCGUGGAACAGUUCCACCAAAGGAAGGUAGAACCAUAGGUUGAUACCGAGGGUAGAUAGUUGGAUUAAUAGGCGUCAUGGGGAAGUUACAUUCCACCUGACACAGGUCCUUACAGGUCAUGGUUGCUUCCGACAGUAUUUACACCGUUUCGGGCAUGCGGAUUCUCCCGAAUGCCCAGUGUGCAAUGGUUUAGAGCAUAGGUUCCCAAACUUUUCGGGUGCGCGACCCCCCUUUGCUAGCAGACGUACUUUUCGCGACCCACCAUAGAAAUUCCCUCAUUUGUUGUAUGUUACAGUAAAAUAUUUUACUGUCCCUCGCGACCCCCUGGAUGAAGGCUGGCGACCCCCCUGGGGGGUCGCGACCCACAGUUUGGGAAACUAUGGUUUAGAGGAAACGGUGGAGAACGUUUUGUUCGUGUGCCCGCGUUUUCGCACAAUGUGUGACCGCAUGCUUGCCACAUGUGGGGAGGACACAACUCCGGACAAUUUGGUCCAGAGGAUGUGUGGGGAUGAGGUUAGCUGGAACGCCGUUUCAACGGCUAUCACCCAUAUCGUCUGGGAGCUACAGAGGAGGUGGCGCGUGGACUUGGAGAAUGGCUAGUUCAGAUGCGGUACAAGAGGUGGUCCAGGGGUUCGAAGUCGGCUUCGUAGGUCAUACCGGUGCCCAGUGUCAGUGUCAGCUGCUCUCAGGGGGGAAAGAGCAACUGACGAAAGUGCCGGGGCUGGGAUCGAACCCAUCACCAUCUGCUUAUGAAGCAAACGUGUAGUCACUACGCCUCGGACCCCGACUAACACAAUACCGCCGUCAACGACACCAGCAGAGAAACUCAGAGGCGUAUUAUAGCCGGAAAUCGAGCUAACUUUGUACACUGCAGAACUCUACGAUCGAACAAAGUUCGCCGUCACACGAAAUUGACUAUCUAGAAAACGCUGACUACCGGUCUAGUCCUCUAUGGGCACGAAGCAUGGACCGUGUGUGCAGAGGACCAACGCUCUCUUGGAAUUUGCGAACGGAAGGUGUUGCGUACCAUCCACGGCGGAGUGCAGAUGGAAGACGGGAAUGGGAGGAGGCGAAUGAACCAUGAAUUGCAUCAGCUGCUGAGAGAACCAACCAACGUUCACACCGCGAAAAUCUGGAGAGAAAUCCUAUCGGUACAGAAGGUGUGGUGCGCAGCGAGGUAGGUGGGUCGAUCAAAUGGAAUACGAUUUACGGAUCCUUCGUAGAGUACGCCUCUGGAGACGCACAGCCAUGGACCGAGUAGAAUGGAGAUGGCUUGUACGUACACUCAGGCCUUAGUUUGAUCGAAAUGGUUAAUUGGUUAGUUAGCUUCAGCAUAACAUCGAUUUAAGUUUAAAUUUUUGGUAUGUUAUUUUACAUAUUCUUUUUCAUACAUAAUUUGUAAUUGUAGCAUUACUUGCAUUGACGACAAAUAAAAGUAAUAGUCAACGUAUGCCUUACUUUACAGUCUAUUUAUUGUCGUAUUUAACUCACUUCUUAAUAAGCGAUAAUCGUUCCGAUGAACCGUUUUAAUUGAAUGAUUGACGGAGCAUCCGCAUUGGCACCGCAGAUUCUCUACCGUCGUCAUUUGUGGUUAGUCAUAUAAGUCACCAUCACCGUCGUCAAUUAAAGUCAAGCCAGUAAUGAAUAUCAAUCCCAUGAUCCAUCAUAAUGCUAGAGGAAUGGAAUCCAUUUCCCCUCGCGCCAGUCAGUGCUAGAACCGCGUCAACCGGCUUCUGAAGCAUCUGGCAUUAGUUUAGAGAUUCAGCCUUAGAGAUUAGCUUGAUGCUCCAUCCCCGGUCGGUCAUUAAUAUCCAAACACUCGGGUCAGAAAACGAAAGUGCACCCACUCAAGGCAAUGGGUGAUACGAGUAUGGUGUGUUAUGUAUAUACUUUGUAUAGACGCCUCCACCGCCUCCGAAAGUACUUGAUCUUGUCCAGAAGGGAACUCCAUUUCUUCACCUACUCCAUAGUAUUCCAUCAGGCUGAUCUGAUAUGCUGGUAUAAACAUGCAGUAUUGGUCCGAAGGUUUGUAACAAAAUUUGCCUUUUAUGCAGUUUAAUACUUUGGUACUGUUUUGGAGAAUCAGAAACAAUUAGAAAUUUAUAUUGAUAACUUUCUUAGUGUUUGUUUUCUAAUGGGACUAUUACCAGAGAUGAAUCAGCGCCCAAAUGAAAAUCUCUGUACUGAAGAGUAAUAAACAUUAUUAAAUAAUGUGACCAUUACUGUAGCUGUAUUAAUACGAAAGGCACUCGUAACAUUCAAGCAAAUAAAAACAAUCCAAUCAAGCAAUUGGUAAACAAAUGUUCGCCUGAAUUAGCCCGUGUGUGCGCGCUGGCUGAACUUGAACUUGAAGCAAACGGCUUCCAAGAGUGUAGUAAAGCGAUCAACGUCGACCGACGACGUUGGGUGCCAAGCUGCCAAGCGUGUACGUGUAGUUACAUACCUCCGCAAAGACGAUAGACGCGGUGCUACCAUACAGUGUACAGAAUCGACCCGCGCCCUUUUCGUCACAGAGUUUUGAUGUAUACACAUGAUCGAGUAUGACUAUCGAGUAAAGAGGAGAGCGUCCUACGCGCAUCUCGAGCUGGCUUGGCAAACACUGGUGUAGUUGAUCGCGAUCGAACCUACCGGGAAACCGUUGCCAAAUUCUGAACCUACACGCGCGCUGUGCGCUCUAGAUCAAUGCGAGAAUUUUGAUCUUGAAAUAAAAAAGCAAUCGAACCGAGUUAUAGGUUCUGGAAUAUCGGUUGCCCGCGUAUUUUAGAUAGUGGGUUUGAUGUGGUCUUGAUCACGAUUUACUGGGGCCAAGACUUAGGCGUAAACUGAGCAAGGAAUUUGCGAUUGAAUGUGAUAUUGAAAAUAAUGUAAUGUCAAUCGCUUUCCACAAAAAGCAAAAUAUUGCUUAUAAAUCAAGUAGUACAAGUAGUAGAUUAUCUUUUUAUGAGGUAACAGCACGGCUGCUAGGAAGGACGAGAUUCCGGUCGAACCUAUUAAUCGAGGAAGCGAACUAAAUAAAUCAAAUCACAAGAUUCUUAUUAACAUAUGAGAUGAUGAAGUAUUGUUCACCAGCUGGUGCAAACUAGAAAGUGCAAGAGAGGUAAGUGCAAGAGAGGUAUAACAUUCGGCGUACAAAAUACUGUCGCGUGUCUUGUUCAACAGACUGAGUCCUUUGGAGGAGUCCUCCAUCAGCAAAUACCAGGCUAGUUUCGACGGAUCUCUACCGUUUAACCUAUAGAACAAGUUUCGGGAGUAUAACUUGCAGUCUUUAUCAGUUCAUUAAUUUUAAAGUAGGGCACGAUUAGGUGAAAAUAAAUUAGCUUUGGCAGAUAAUGGCAGAACAUGGUUAAUUGUAGAAACUAGUCAGGCUAAAAAGUGCAAUGUUGCACAAUGUUCUAAUGUUGAGAAAAGCUGGCAGAAACUCAAUUUUUGAACAUCUCUUAAAUGGGUUUCAGUAUAUAGAUCAUUCAUCUACAAUAUCAGAAGUGUUGACUGUCUUUCAAAUUAAUUGGAAUAAAUCGAUAGUUGGACCAACCUUCUGUAUCUGGGGUAUCUGAGAUCUAUGUAGCUGUCAACGAAGAUGAAACAAUACAAUACGAGUAGCGAAGUAGGUAACACAAACUCGGAUUUUUGAUUAAAUUUCCCUAAUUUCUGAAACACUUACUAAGUUUAAUAGUUGAUUGAACCUUUGUUCUGAAUUUAUUAUUGAAUUCGUUAGAACAUCUAAAUAAAUACACAUUUCUAAAUAAAAUAAUAAAACAUUGUACAACACAGACAAGCUAAAAUGGCACAAAUUUCCCAAGUGGAGGAGAACGUGCCUCUGGAGCCGGCCUACUGAUUCUCUAAAGGAAAAAUGAGCUAAAAAGGAGUCUCGAACAUUUUACCAUUGUCGCAUCAACCGCAACAAACUUUAAGAGCCAGUUCGCGAGAACCGCGACCCCCUUUCCAAAGGAAGUGGAAUCGAUGUGCUCCGAUUGAACUGAAAUUUUCAGGGUAUGGUUUUCCAUAUAAAAGAUGAUAUCUGGCCGAUUUUCAGAUUUUUCCGUUAGGGGGAAGUCAAGGGGGAGGUCAGCUCAAUGAUAUAGUUUUAAUAUCAGGUUAAUAUUUUUGAUAUUUUUAAUAUCAUCGAAGCAGCUCAGAUUACUAAAGAGAUUUUCCCAUCAACAUACAUCUGUCAACAGAAGCACACGGACCGAAUGCAAGGACAAAUAGCCAAGUUCUGUUCAAUGGUUGUUUAAUGCGAGACGGGAUCUCUGAGUCAUUGCUAAUUGACAUUUUUGGUGUUGGAACCUUGCUACCUGUUCUGUUACCAGAUUACUUUUGAAUAGCGAUUCCAGAAUGUAUUUAAUAACGAUGUUCAAUCGUGAGAAGUUUGGAGGUUCAGUCCAUGUCUUACGAGCAUAUUUUUUAUUAUCCCUGCACAAGUCUGAUGUAGCAAAUAAAGAAAUUAGGGAUAAUGGUGGGUAUGACUUUACUUUCGGAAAUAGAACGACGUCUCUUUGAUAUGUACCUACAACAUCCGGCUCUCAAACUUUUGUUAUCUUGCAGUAUACCAGCAUAGCCUUCCUUAAAUCCUGCUGAUGAACCGAAUGCAGAGUGUGAGAAUAUGUGAAUCGAAGAAAAUUUGUGCUCGGCUGUUCAGGUUGCAUUCUAACUUGCCGGUCGAAUAUCAUGUAUAUUAUCUGCUAGCGCAAGCAUAUCCAGGGGAUAGGGAAACUGAGGAUUCUUAGCUACUAUUAACUUGUGGUUUCCUGACUAAAAGUACAAGUUGGGAAAAUGCAUUAGAGAGCUAUUAAGAGGCCGAGAUCGGUUCGUUUUUGGUUAUUGAGUCAGACGAUUAGGUGACUCGGCUAUUUCUAGAAAACAACCACGGGGUGUUCAGUCACUCUUGAACAGCUCCGGGUGUAGUUUCACAACUCUACUUUUAAAACGCUGCCCACAUAAUCACAAACUGUAAAUGCAACGUUUCUCAUACUGUGGAUGACUAUUAGCAAUUGUCAUGUAACCAUUCCUCAGGCUGUCCAAGAUAACAGUAAGACAACUAUUCUAUGUACAGAUUUGCCAGUUUGACAAAUGGUAAUCCGCCAAAUUACAGUUUGUUGAAUAGGCGGUUAAGAUAGGUUACCAUAAAAAAUCGCUCGUUUUCUCGAACAAAUUUUUCGCAAUACAGUAAAGGAUACGGUCAAUAUAUUAUCCAGUUUUUCAGACCAUUCACUGCAUAGCAAAUGGUUGGACAACAGUUCCACAAUAAAUCUGGGAGAAAACGAGCACUGUAUGUGAUAUUAUUGAUUAAUGGUAUUUCAUGGUAUUUUAAGCCUAUGACAUAUGGUUCUGCUGCAUUUCAACCGCUUAGAAAUAAAAAGGCGGUUGUGUUUUCUUUUCUGUAGAUUUUUUAUUCAUCAACUAUUUACCAUCUAUUCCAAGACUCAUGCCCAGCAGCCACUCCCAUCCUACUAGAUGCAAUUCCUCCACCAAUUGUUGCGGCUCCAACGAAUGCCGGCAGUGAGCCACAUUUUGUUCACUUUUCCCUGCCGGCCGUUGAGCGACGAGAAUCGGAACCAUGUCUACAACACAAAAACAAUGCGUAUUCGUCAGUGCGGAUCACCAUCCGCUGGUAUCGAUUGCAACUCACAUGAACAUUUUGCUAAACGACAUCGCUCUUCUUCUCCUUUAGUUCUACCGGAGGUUUUCAACAAUGCUGAGGUUAAAGCUGCCGCAGGUCAUCGGUAUUGGGAGUUACUGGGCUGGAUCUGUCGGGGAAUGCCUCUGGGUCGAGCUCUGGGUAAAAUCCGUGCACAACUGCGAAGAGAAAAGAUCGAUGGUUUGUUUAAAAAACUCACUUUCUGACGCCAAACCUGUGGCCAGGCAUUGAACCCUUAGUAGAAUACUCACCGAAAUGCAUAAAAUCUGCCGUUUCAGAUGUAUCCCGGAACGGAUUUUCCGAAACUGCAUUUAAACACCAGCGACCAAACAAAUUACUUUUUUUUUUCUUUUUUUUAUUGCAAAAUGUCAAGCUGCAAGUAGUUGAGUAGAUCCUCUGGUCAAGUUUCAAUCGAUCACAAAUACUAAUGUACGAAACUGUUUGUCAUAUUGUGCAACAUUAGUAAAAUGUAGUUGAAUGCACAUGUGUCAGUGUGUUGUGCCAAUAUGAAUGUAAACCAUUUGACAAACUGUGGUUCUAUUUUUCAACCAUUUCUCGCAAAUAUUCAUCCUCAUAUAACUUAACAAUAACUGCACAAUAUAAUACAUUGUUACCACUUGCUAUGGGUUAAUUAAACCAUUGAAUACAGUCGAAUGCACAGACCUUCAUAUUGUUGAACAUGAAAACAACUGUGUGUGGUAUAUUAACAUUAACACAUACAAGAUAUUUAUUGUGUGGAGAUUAAGGCAAAUUGUAAUUUGUUAUGCGGGUGGUUAACUUUGUGUCAGUUAUAAACAAUGCGUAAAAGCAAGGCAUAUCUGAUGAUUUUUUUAAUAUUAGGAUUAAUAUUUUUGAUAUUUUAUUAAUUUUGAUACCAGAUCGGGCUGUCCUCCCCCUUGGGGGAAGUGGGGUAAAAUAGCCCUCAAAGAUUUCAUGUCUAAAAAUAGGUAAAAUCACUAAAAUCGCAAUAACUUCCGCAAAAGUUAACGGAUUCAGCUGAAAUUUUGGAUGGACACUCUACUCCUAUGGCACUUCCAUUUAAGCCAAGCGUUGGAUAUUCUUUGAUAUUUAAUUUGAAGAAAUAGGUUAUUUUCAUAAUUUUGUUGGCGAUUUUCAGGGCGCCUGUUUUCGUACCAACAGAACUAGGAUAAAAAACUGAGUACUACGUUUUGAAGGAUUACCCAAGAGCUUUCAUUUGAUAUGUGACCCAGAUGCGCCAACUUAAAAACUUUCGAAAAAAAAUUUUUUUUUUUCUCGGGUUUGCAUUUUACCCCAUAUUUUAAGCUAUCUCAAGAAGUGUUGUCGCAAAUUAUUACAACGUUAUUUAACUUUCAAGGGUUUUUCUUCAAUAUUAAUUCAACAGAAAAAUUAUGACUAAGAAAUACAAUUAUUAGAUUUUUUCAUUUGGGGAAAGUAGGGUAAAACGGACUAACUCAACCUCCUUUCGAAAUAACGUUGCUACGAUGUUCUCUGAUCGGUCUUUAAUUUUCAGAGUUCUUUAUUCUAUUCAAGAAUCCACUUAUCCGCAAGCGGUAAUGGCGGCGGCGGGCACAAAUAACACUAGUUUACAAAAUAAAACGAAAGUCGUGAACUUCUGUCAACGACCAGAAUUUUUGAAGCACAAUUUAGUACUGAUUUCGAAACCGUGCUUCAAAAAUUUUUAAGUAGAGCACUUUUUGAGUUUUAGCUCAAUAUCGAGUUUUACAACUUUUAAAAAUAUUGAAUUUACUAAAAUUCAAAUAUCUUGCGUUUUGUUCAACCAAUUUCAAAUCUUUUUUUAUAAAUUAAAAGCUGAAUACAACACCAUUAGAUCAUCUGAAUGCAGGUUUUGCGUCAGAUUGAUGAAAUUCAAGAUAUUGGCGAGUUUAAGGGACGAUCUCCUUAAAUUUUAGCCAAAUUUCCAAAAAUAUAUGAAGAAAUGUAUUUUUUUCAAUAAGAAAAAAACAAUCUAAAAAUUCUUUCUGAACGUUUAUUUGACAUAUCAUAUGUAGGCGAGUUACAGUAAAAAAAUCAGCUCAAUCGUAGCAUUGAUUACGGAGAAUGAGAUGUGUGAAGUGAGCGACGUUGCUUAAAAAUAGAACAAAAAUCGAUUUCAAAUCAUCAACCUUGUAUGGAAAGUCGAAAAAAUUUCCUCUCUACUGUAAUUUUUUUCCUUCGCGUUUUCGAACUCAGGGCAUGAUUCUACACCAAAAAUGAUCAUCAGCUUACCGAGUUCAAAAAUGCUGUAAACUAGUGUAACCGAUUCGAAUUUUGACGUUUCUUGGGGAUCGCAAUCGGUUGGCGCCACCAAACGGUGGGUGAAGGGGUGAGGAGGUGAAUGAAAUUGUUUUGACAUUCCCCCACGAAACGUCAAAAUCCGAACCGGUUGGAUAUGCCCGCCGCCGCCAUUUCCGCUCGCGGAUAAGUGGAUAGAUGCUUUAUCACAUUUUUUUUCUUGAGAGGAUAACGAGGUAAAACAAUUCUCAGAAAAAAAUGUUGAAAAUAAUCAAAAUGUCAAAACCUACAAAUGCUUUGGUACAACUUGUCGAAAUUUCAUGAAAUAAGAAAAAAUUUCUUAAUUUUUAUUGCUUAUUCAAAUGAGCAAGUCUGACAACAUUUUGACGUCGAGAAAUGUCACAAAUUAGCACGUGGUGUGUGAUUCGCCGGAUUCUUUCUCGAUUUUUCUUUUGACAUGCAUCUCCGGCUCAAUUUUCUUUUUUUUUUCUUGUGAAAGUUGCAGCAGUGCACAAUGGUCCACGACAAAGAUUUACGAGGAAAGAUGCAUUCAGCGCCUUCAAAUGAUUUUUUGGACAAAUAUGGUCUUCUACGAAGUCGUUCCCAAAAAUCAGGCCCUCUUUUCAAUGUACAUCAAAAUUAGGGUGGUCCAUAUUUUCGAAGAAAUUGGGAACCAAACUUUUUUAUUUGCAAGAAUAACUGUAUACAUUCUUCAGAAAAGUUGUAGAUCUAUCAAUUUUGAGCAAGUUUCCUGAAGACUUUUUUUUGUAGCUUUAAAAUUGACCGAUCUAGAGAUAUUUUUCUGAACAAGCUUAGGGUGGUUCAAGAAAAAUCGGUUUUCUGGCGUUAACUGUUUCAGUUUCGAUUUUUCAUCAAAGCCACCCAAGAAACACUUGUAGAGCAUAGUUUUUUGAAAAGGUGUUAUGACGGGUUGGGGCAAUCAUAAAAAUUAUCUUUGCCCGCAUUCAAAAAAAGAAACGUUGUUAUAAAACACAUCAAAAAAUUAGAGGGGUGUUUUUUUGUAACUUAAGUAAAAAAUACUUGAAAAGUGCCUAUUUUUUCUAGAUAAUCAUCAAUAACUUUUGAACGGAAUGACGUAGCAACAUUCUCAGCGAACGAAAAUGCGCUUUUUUUGGAAACUGUAAAAGUGGUUCUUACGCGACUUAAACGAGAAAUUUUAAACAAAGACGGUAAAGCAAUAAAACGAUUUCUAGAGUCACCCUUUAUCUUUAUCUUUUUUGUUUCAAAUUUCACGUCAAAGUUGUCUAAGAACAAUUCAAGAACUCAAAAAUAACGCAUAUUUUCGUGCGUUGGGAAUGUUGCUUCGUCAUUCCGUUCAAAAUAUAUUGAUGGUUUUCUAGAAAAAAAUAGGCACUUUUCCAGCAUUUUUCACACACCAAUCGGUCAUAUCACCUUUAAAAAAAUAUUUUUUAGGAAAAACACCUGUAACUUUUGAACCAAAAGAGAUAAGGACCAUUUCAGCGCAUGAAACGACGCGUUUUCAAAUGCUCUACAAGUGUUUCUUGGGCAACUUUGAUUAAAAAUCGAAACUGAAAAAGUUAACGCGAGAAAACUGGUUUUUCUUGAACCACCCUAAGCUUAUUCAGAAAAACAUCUCUAGAUCGGUCAAUUUCAAAGCUACAUAAAAAAAAGUCUUCAGGAAACUUGCCCAAAAUUGAUAGAUCUACAACUUUUCUGAAGAAUGUAUACAGUUAUUCUUGCAAAUAAAAAAGUUUGGUUCCCAAUUUCUUCGAAAAUAUGGACCACCCUAAUUUUGAUGUACAUUGAAAAGAGGGCCUGAUUUUUGGGAACGACUUCGUAGAAGAACAUAUUUGUCCAAAAAAUCAUUUGAAGGCGCUAAAUGCAUCUUUCCUCUUAAAUCUUUGUCGUGGACCACUGUGCACUGCAACAACUUUCAUGAGAAAAAAAUAAGAGAAAAUUGAGCCGGAGAUACAUGCCAAAAGAAAAAUCGAGAGAGAAUCCGGUGAAUCACACACCACGUGCUAAUCUGUGACAUUUCUCAACGUCCAGACUUGCUCAUUUGAAUAAGCAAUAUAAAUUAAGAUUUUUUUCUUAUUUCAUGAAAUUUCGCCAAGUUUUACCAAAGCAUUUGUAGGUUUUGAAAUUUUGUUUAUUUUCAACAUUUUUUUCUGAGAAUUGUUUUACCCCGUUAUCCUCUCAAGAAAAAAAAUAUGUGGUAAAGCAUCUAUUCUUGAAUAGAAUGAAGAGCUCUGAAAAUUAAAGACCGAUCAGAGAACAUCGUAGCAACGUUAUUUCGAAAGGAGGUUGAGUUAGUCCGUUUUACCCUACUUCCCCAAAUGAAAAAAUCUAAUAAUUGCAUUUCUUAGUCAUAAUUUUUCUGUUGAAUUAAUAUUGAAGAAAAAUCCUUGAAAGUUAAAUAACGUUGUCAUAAUUUGCGACAACACUUCUUGAGAUAGCUACAAAUAUGGGGUAAAAUGCACACCCGAGAAAAAACAUUUUUUUUUUCGAAAGUUUUUAAGUUGGCGCAUCUGGGUCACAUAUCAAAUAAAAGCUCUUGGGUAAUCCUUCAAAACGUAGUACUCAGUUUUUCAUCCUAGUUCUGUUGGUACGAAAACAGGCGCCCUGAAAAUCGUCAAAAAAAUUAUGAAAAUAACCUAUUUCUUCAAAUUAAAUGUCAAAGAAUAUCAAACGCUUGGCUUAAAUGGAAGUGCCAUAGGAGUAGAGUGUCCAUCCAAAAUUUCAGCUGAAUCCGUUAACUUUUGCGGAAGUUAUUGCGAUUUUAGUGAUUUUACCUCUUUUUAGACAUGAAAUCUUUGAGGGCUAUUUUACCCCACUUCCCCCUAACGGAAAAAUCUGAAAAUCGGCCAGAUAUCAUCUUUUAUAUGGAAAACCAUACCCUGAAAUUUUCAGCUCAAUCGGAGCACAUCGAUACAAGAAGGGGUUGCGGCUCUCGCGAACUGGCUCUUAAGGUUUCUAACCUCACAAAGUACUAGGCGCAUUAAGAAGACUGGAAUGUCGGGAUCUGAUAAAUCAACCUCAACCCGAAUACACAGCGUCAUCCGACGCUGGCGGAAAAGGACAGUUCGGCGACUGGAUGUUGUCCCUUGUUCGACCGACCCGAUUAAUGGAUAUGCGGUACAACCUGUGCGAGCAGUGGUGCCACUCCACCUGCGCGAAGGUUGACGAGAAUGUCAAAGAACGAAGUUUUACAUGCGCAAAGUGCAUCCUACCAUCCGGUCGGGAAUCCACAUGAACUUCUUCGAUUGCAGGAGAAAAAGGUGCUCAACGAGAAGUUAUUGAUGCAGCAUGCGGAGGAGGAAUGCGCUCUGCUGAAGAAGGCACAGGAGGAGGAAGAAAAAGAGAGGAGCAAGAGGAUCAUGCAGGAAAAGUUGGAUAUAGCCAAGCAAUAUUUGAAUAGGUAGUACGAGGUACUGCAGGAGAAGGAGAGAUCAAAAGAAGGUAGGAGUCGGAAAAGUCUUUCCAGCACUCGGAGUAAACUCAGUGGCGUUCAAAAGUGGGUCGAGAACCACUAUAUGGCCAUGGCAACCGGAUCCGGGAUGCAUCAAGUCCCCACUGGCACCACACCAACCACCGAAGCUGGCCCCAGGGAUGCAUCUGCUGGACUUCCGUGUGGCGGGACAUUUCAAGGCACUGCAGCUCAUCCUGAUGUUCCUAAAGAGCCUGUUGCAGUUAAUAUUGCCUCGUGGGGGAAUUCUGAUACCUCGCGCUGUCCAAAAUCCUAAAAAUUCGGUCCCGGCUCCACCACCCCCACCCCUACUAUUUCUUGCACUCCGUCUACAUGAGGUAGGGUUCGCGCACCGUCAUUUUUCUCGCAACACAGCAAGUUGGACCACUAAUUUAUUCAAUGGAGGUAUCGCCACCCCGCAGCGGCGACAAGUCUAGAGCUGACUUAGAACGUGAAGUUCGAGAACUAAAGCAGCAAUUGACCAGCAUUCAACCAUUGCCGCCAUCUUGCAUUUUGAGUAGCCAUCUUUUUGUCAUCAUUUUUGUACUUCACUGCCGCAAUUCUGCAAAGUGACGUAAGCGACAUUGAUAGUUUUGGCCAAUUUUUUGGUUAUUAUGCAUUAAACACUUACUUAUUCUCUAAGUUUCUUUCCAUAGAUGAUAGAUAACACCUAGAUCUUGCAUUCUAAUACAGCAGGAAUACCGCAGUGUUAUUUUUAUCCCAGAUAUUAUAUAUAAUAUACCAGAAAAUAUCGAAAUUUUGAAUGGCGCUUACGUCACUUUGCAGAAUUACGGAAGUUCAGGCGUUUUACUCUUACCAAGUACCGUCUUACCCCGCUGGUUCGACACGUUUUAAUACGACACUUUUUAAUUCGUAACCCGCUUAUUCGACAUAUGUCGAAUUAAAAAGUGUUCAAAUGUCACAGCGAUGUACACCGUAAAAUCAAAACAGUUUAAUAUAGCGUUUAUACUCGCACCGGCAGCAGCUCCUCUUGUAGCCGCUAAUUCCGGAAGUUCUGAGUUGGUGCUAUUCGACACCCAAACCACCUGGAGACCAACCGGAAUGAACUGAGGAUGGCAACAAUCGUAGAAAGAACGAGCGUUUUAUUCGCACCGCCGCGAUAUCUUUGAAAUAAUGUUUCAAAAUAAAUCCGGAAAUCAAAGCAAAAACAAAAAUAGAGUUGCCAAAUUUCAAUGAGCAUAAUGGUAUAGGAUGACCAGUUUGUCGAAUUAAGGCUCAAUUGAGAAUGAUGAAUGUUCCAGAACUAAAAAAGCACUUUUUAUCAAGAUGGUCCACAAAACGAAGAAAACAAGAAUGUCCAAUUGCUUAUUUAGUCAAUUAUGACAAUCGGACACGCUGGUUUUGUUCGAUUUUUCGUUAUUCUGGAGAAAAGUGCUUUUUCAGUUUUGGAUAAUAUGCGAUUCUCAUCUGAGCCUUAAAAGUUUACCCCGGUUAUUCGACAACAGUCGGUGUCGUAUUAGCGGGGUAAUACGGUACUCAAGUAUACCCAAAUUGCAUGGUUUUAGAGGCUAAAACUCUUUAGUACAGCCACCAUCUUGAUUUUUGAGCUUUGGACCAUACCAAGUAUACCCAUAUUGCAUGCCUUAAGAGUCUUAAACUCCUUAAAACAAUAGCCAUUUUGAAUUUUUGGCCGCCAUCUUGUAUAUUCUUGUCACCCUUUUUGGUCCCCGGACAUCUUCUGUAUGCCAAAUAUACUUAUAUUGCAUGUUUUAAGAACCUUAAACUUCUUCAAACAGCUGCCAUCGUGAAUUUUGGGCAGCCAUCUUGUAUAUUCCGGUUGUCAUUUGUGGACUCUGGACAUCUCCAUACCAAAUAUACCCAUAUUGCAUGGUUUUAGAGCUUUAAACUCCUUGAAACAGCCGCCUUUUCUAGUUGUGGGCCGCCAACUGAUAUUUUACAGGGGAUAGACAAAAUGAUCGGGACGGGCAAAAUUUUCACUUUUCAAGAAAUGUUCAAUUAGCUGUAACUUUUCGAAAAGUGCAUCAAAUAUUCUCAAAUUUUUACUGUAAGUUCCUCAACUAGUUGUGUAUCAGUGGACAUUGGACAUGGAAAAGAUCGGAUAAUUCUUCACGAAGUUAUAAAGAUUUCUGAAAAAGGAAAAAUUAUUCGAUAGCCAACUUUGAGCUGUUAUAUCUCCGGAUUCAAUGAACCGAAUGCAAUGAAAUUUUGACCAUUUAUGACUUAUAUAACGAUCCAUGAAAAACCAUUGACUUAACUUAAUAUUCUUAACACGGAAGAAAGUUAUAACGAUUAGAUUAUUUUUCUAAUAAAACACCAAAUUAUCCAAAACAUCAACAUCGUUUCAAAAUUCAAGAUGCAAAUUAUAGUUUAUUUAGUUUCCCUCUAAUUGACAUAUAUAUAAAUGCGUUUUGAAGGAAAGUAACAACAUAGCCGCCAAUAAAUUGAAAAAGUAAUGGGAUGCAUAUUAAAAAUAGACCAAUUUACUAAAAAAUCAUGAGAAAAAUAAAAUCGCUAUAACUUUUUCGCUUGUUGAAAAUUUCAAGUUAAGUAAAGUGUUUUCUAGAGUUUAUUAUAUAAGUCAUGAAUGGUCAAAAUUCCAAUGCAAUCGGUUCAUUGAAUCCGGAGAUAUAACAGCUCAAAGUUGGCAAUCGGAUAAUUUUAUCUUUUUCAAAAAUCUUUAUAACUUCGUGAAGAAUUGUCCGAUCUUUUCCAAAUUUUGUUCACUUAUACAAAACUAGUUGAAGAACUUACAGUAAAAAUUUGAGAAUAUUUGAUGCACUUUUCGAAAAGUUACAGCUAGUUGUACAUUUUUUGGAAAGUGAAAAUUUUGCCUGUCCCGAUCAUUUUGUCUAUCCCCUGUAGGUCGUCGUCUUUAAUUUUUGGGCGAUUUUGUUGUUUUCAUAGAUGAUUUCCGCAUAAAAUUCGGCAACCAUGCUGAAGUUUACAAAAUACGGCGAAAUUUGAUGAGUCGCAUAAUAGAAUUCGGUUCAGUUUUAUAUAUAACCAUUUGGCUAGUUCACCGAUGGUGGUAAGUGGUAUGGAUCACUAAAAUGGCCAUAACUCUGGAACGCCUUGAUCGAUUGCAAUCAAUUUUUAAUAGCAAACAAUGCGGUAAAAUUCCGGUUCGAUUCGAGCUAUAUUCCGUAAAAUAAAUCAAUGGGAAGUGCCUUAAAAAUAAGUAAAUUGUGAUAAAUGAAAAGCUCUACCUUUUUGCCUUUGCUGUACACCGAAGUGUACUGAAAGGCUAUAUGUUCACUCUAAAAACGAGUUGUCGAUUUCAGUGAUUCGAACAAGCACCGGUAUAACUGGCUGUAUGCAACACCCCAUCAUGCGACACAUCAAACUGCAGCGAUUUUUGUUACCCUUAGCAUGUGUUGGAGUAUUAGGGGAGAUCGAGUGACAGAGCCCAGGAGUUGUGUGACUGAACAACUUUUAAGUUGAAAUAUAUUUCAUAUUAAAUUCACUUUCAAUGUUAUACAAUUUAAAUUUCUUACAUUUCUGGGCCGGCCGAAGGUCAUUAGGCCGAAUGGUCAUUAGGCCGAAUGAUCAUUAGGCCGAAUGGUCAUCAGGACGAAUUGAAAGUUAGCCGUUGUUUUUACAUUUUCCAACAAUUUUUGCCAAAAACUAGUUUAACAAUGAAACUAUAAAGAAUAACCUAUGUUUUAAAGAAGGAAAAAUUUAUGAAUUGAAUAUCAGCAGUUUCAGCGAAAAAAAUAUUUUAGCAAUGAUACUAGAAAGAACAGCCUGUAUUUAAAAGAAGGAAAAAUUCAUGGGUAAAAUAUCAGUAGAUUCAGCAUCAAUAAAGUAUCUUCGUGCCUGUCACACGGUACACACAUGCAAAAAGGUCAUUUGCAGAGAAAGCUCUCAGUUAUUUCGAGUGGAGCUGAGAAGCAGGCUUUGUCUCAGUGGGGACGUAACGGCAAGAAGAAGAUUCAAUGACCAUUCUGCCUAAUGACCAUUCGGCCUAAUGACCAUUCGGCCUAAUGACCAUUCGGCCUAAUGACCAUUCGGCCUAAUGACCAUUCGGCCUAAUGACCAUUCGGCCUAAUGACCAUUCGGCCUAAUGACCAUUCGGCCUAAUGACCAUUCGGCCUAAUGACCAUUCGGCCUAAUGACCAUUCGGCCUAAUGACCAUUCGGCCUAAUGACCAUUCGGCCUAAUGACCAUUCGGCCUAAUGACCAUUCGGCCUAAUGACCAUUCGGCUUAAUGACCAUUCGGCCUAAUGAACAUUCGGCCUAAUGACCAUUCGGCCUAAUGACCAUUCGGCCUAAUGACCAUUCGGCCUAAUGCAAUGUGGGUAUAUUUGGUAUGGGGAAGAAGCAAGGGAAGAAGUCUAGACUCCAAAAAUGGCAACUAGAAUAUCCAAGAUGGCCAUCGACAAUCCAUGAUGGUGGCUCCAAAUUCAACAUGGUGGCUGUUUUAUGGAAUUGUAGGCUAUAAAACCAUUCAAUAUGGGUAUAUUUGGUAUUGGGAAGAUGUCUGGAGUCCAAAAAUUACGAUUAAAAUGUCCAAGAUGACGACCAAAAUAUCUAAGAUGGCGCCUCAAUAUUUUUUUUCCUCCCCUGUUGGGGAAAUUGAGCCACUGCGUUCAAUAGGCUGAACUUUUGUGGCAUAAAAUCAAUAUUUAAGACGGUGGUUCAAAAUUCAAGAUGGCGGUGGAGAAUUAGGCUCUAAAACUAUUCAAUGUGGGUAUAUUUGGUAUGGGAAAGACAACCGGAGUUCAAAAAUGGCGACCAGAAUACUCUAGAUGGCGUCUCAAAAUUCAUGAUUGCGGCUGUUUAAUUGAGUUUUGGGCUCUAAAACCAUUCAAUAUGGGCAUAUCUGGUAUGGGAACGUCCAUAAAUUACGUCACGCCUUGAGGGGGGAGGGGGGGUUCAGCAAAGUGUGACAACCCAUACAAAAAAUUCAGAGGUCCCAUACAAAAAGUGUGACAUAGGGGGGGGGGGGGUUGAAAAUGGUCGAUUUUUACGUGACGUAAUUUGUGGACGUUCCCUAUGGGGAAGAAGUCUAGAGUCCAAAAAUGGCGACCAGAAUUUCCAAGAUGCCAGACUUUAAUCUAAAUUGACGGCUCAAAAAUCAAGAUCACGGCUUUUUUUCAAAAGUUUAAGGCUCAAACAAAUAUCAAGAACCAGAAAAAACGAUAUGAUUUAUGGAACCAUGAAAUGGAUAUCUGUUAAACGUAUGAAAGUGCGAUAUUCAUAAAUAAGUCACUUGAGUUUUGUAGAAAUGGGUUUUCGAAGGCACGAGAAAGGCGCCAUCACCGCUAGGUAGAUUAAUUAGGGUUUUUAACAGAAAUAUCAACUAUUCGUUGUUUCAAGAUCAGCCGUAGAUAUACAAUAGCUUAUGGAAACUGGUGAGCCACGUGAACCUUUUUGACUUAUUUUUUUUCGCGUGCAACACCGUUCAGUUAAACGAAAAUUGCACCGUAAAUUUGUUUUUAAAUAAAUUCAAAACUCACUCAACAAAAACGUGUAACUGUUUAUGUGGUUCUGGCAUAACUUGAGCGUUAAGGGACCAAUGACCCUUGUGACCCUUGUGCAUAAGAAGUUUUAAAGCUUUCAAUGACAACAUAAGAUCUUUGGGAGUGCUUCUAUUGAUUUGUUUGAAGUGUUUUCCAGUAAGUGUUCCAACUUUAAAAAACCAUUCGAAAAUUUGUUCAAAUCCUUGAUUGAAAUUAUUCUAAAGAUUUAUUCGAGCUUGGUUCGUAACAUUCUCAAAAACAUUGUUGAUGCAGUGAAUAUACUCCAUACACUGUAAAUCAAAAUGUCAAUUUCACUGAUCACAGUUUACAAUAUAUUUAAUUGCGUACACAUUUGAACAUUGCAUCGUCUAAACUGCCGUUCAAACACUCAACAUUGAAGAUACGCAAAUAUCCAGAUGCAAGCGAAGAUACC